UCGGAAGCUAUAUUCGGAAAUUUUGAAUUUAGGGUUUUUCUGUAUUGUGUUUUGUUAUCGGAACAACUCAGGCUCUCCCAUUCGUCUCUCACAUCACUCGAAUCAUGGCGAACACUGCAACAAGGUCUUUUCUGCAAGUGGCGGUUACAGAGGAGGCCGCGCCGCCGCUCAGAGUCGUCCAGAUCGAAGGACUGGUUAUUUUGAAGAUAAUCAAGCACUGCAAGGAGUUAUCACCAGCUUUGGUUACUGGACAGCUUCUUGGUUUGGACGUUGGUAGUGUUCUCGAAGUCACUAAUUGCUUCCCAUUCCCGAUUCGUGAGGAAGAUGAAGAGGUUGAAGCCGAAGGUGCUAAUUAUCAGCUUGAGAUGAUGAGAUGCCUUAGGGAGGUUAAUGUCGACAACAACACAGUUGGUUGGUAUCAAUCAACUAUGUUUGGCUCUUUCCAGACUGGGGAACUGAUAGAGACUUUUAUGAAUUACCAGGAAAAUAUAAGACGAUGUGUCUGCAUCAUUUAUGACCCUUCAAGAGCUAAUCAAGGAGUCCUAGCUUUAAAGGCCCUGAAGCUUUCUGAUACCUUCAUGGAGCUCUAUCGCACAAAUAACUUCAAAGGGGAGAAGUUGAGAGAGAAAAAUCUUUCCUUUGUGGAUAUUUUUGAAGAGAUUCCUAUUAAGGUUUCAAAUUCUGCUCUAAUCAGCGCAUUUAUGACUGAGCUUGAGGCAGAUACUCCAGUCACCCAGUGUGAUUAUGAUAGAUUGCAAUUAUCAACCAGUCCAAUUUUGGAGAGAAAUGUGGAAUUUCUAAUUGAAUGCAUGGAUGACUUGUCAAUGGAACAACAAAAGUUCCAAUUCUACUACAGGAAUCUGUCUCGUCAAGAAGCACAGAAGCAGGCCUGGCUUCAGAAGAGAAGGGCUGAAAAUGCUGCGCGGAAGAAUGCAGGGGAAGAGCCAUUACCUGAGGAGGAUCCCACAAACCCUCUCUUCAAGCCUAUCCCCGAGCCAUCAAGAUUGGAUAGUUUCCUUAUAACAAAUCAAAUUGCAAAUUAUUGCAACCAAAUCAAUGGAGUGGCUGGACAAAGCUUUAGCAGACUGUAUCUGAUGAAGGCACUUCAUGAAAAGUAAAGAUGCACCCCUGUGGUGGGACGUGGUAUUCAAUCGCUGCUCAUGGUUGUAGCUUAUCAGACGAGAUAAGAAUUGUUCUGCAGCAUGAAGGUUCAAUAUUUGGAGUAUUCCUGGCAUCUAAUGGUUGUGAGAUACUACUUGUUUGUGGAUGACAAUGCCAUCUUGAGGAUUGAUCAAUCGGAAGGUUGGCAUGAGUAUUCCAAUACUAAUGAAAUCACUUCUGAGUUCGAUUGGUUUUUCGGAUUAGUCGCUCUUAUUCCAUUUGAAAUGGCAUGGAGAAAUGGAAAGAUAUGGAGGAUUGGAAGAGUAGUACUAUGAAAAUUGGUCUCUAACACCAUCAACUUUGGUCAAAUUUUGGUAUUUCCCACGAACUUUAAAAUUGGUUUAGAAUAUCACAAACUUUACAUUUUGUUUGUUAUUUCUCAUGACAGCCAAAUAAGAUAUCUUUUGCAAAAAUCUUAUUAUACAUGAGCAACCGUGACAAGUAGGAUAAAAAGCUACGUAGAAAAUAACGUUGAUUUAGUAGUCCCAAGUAGGAUAAAAAAUGCACAGAAGUUGGUGGUAUAUGGUGAUUGAGCUAUGGGAAAUAACAAACACAAUAUAAAGUUUGU